GAUGAACGCUGGCGGCGUGCCUAAUACAUGCAAGUAGAACGCUGAAGCUUGGUGCUUGCACCGAGCGGAUGAGUUGCGAACGGGUGAGUAACGCGUAGGUAACCUGCCUGGUAGCGGGGGAUAACUAUUAGAAACGAUAGCUAAUACCGCAUAACAGUAGAUAUUGCAUGAUAUCUGCUUGAAAGGUGCAAAUGCAUCACUACCAGAUGGACCUGCGUUGUAUUAGCUAGUUGGUGAGGUAACGGCUCACCAAGGCGACGAUACAUAGCCGACCUGAGAGGGUGAUCGGCCACACUGGGACUGAGACACGGCCCAGACUCCUACGGGAGGCAGCAGUAGGGAAUCUUCGGCAAUGGGGGGAACCCUGAACGAGCAACGCCGCGGGAGUGAAGAAGGUUUUCGGAUCGUAAAGCUCUGUUGUAAGAGAAGAACGAGUGUGAGAGUGGAAAGUUCACACUGUGACGGUAUCUUACCAGAAAGGGACGGCUAACUACGUG
rnacentral:rRNA from 1 species